UACAGAGGGUGCGAGCGUUGUCCGGAAUCACUGGGCGUAAAGGGCGCGUAGGCGGCUCGGUCAGCGUGCGGUGAAAGCCCGGGGCUCAACCCCGGGUCGGCCGUGCGAACUGCGUGGGCUGGAGCACUGUAGAGGCAGGUGGAAUUCCGGGUGUAGCGGUGAAAUGCGCAGAUAUCAGGAGGAACACCAAUGGCGAAGGCAGCUCGCUGGGACGUGACUGACGCUGAGACGCGAAAGCGUGGGAGCAAACAGG
rnacentral:rRNA from 1 species